rnacentral:rRNA from 1 species
AUUGAACGCUGGCGGCAUGCCCUACACAUGCAAGUCGAACGGUAACAGGUCUUCGGAUGCUGACGAGUGGCGAACGGGUGAGUAAUACAUCGGAACGUGCCCGAUCGUGGGGGAUAACGCAGCGAAAGCUGUGCUAAUACCGCAUACGAUCUACGGAUGAAAGCGGGGGACUCGCAAGGGGCCUCGCGCGGACGGAGCGGCCGAUGGCAGAUUAGGUAGUUGGUGGGAUAAAAGCUUACCCAAGCCGACGAUCUGUAGCUGGUCUGAGAGGACGACCAGCCACACUGGGACUGAGACACGGCCCAGACUCCUACGGGAGGCAGCAGUGGGGAAUUUUGGACAAUGGGCGCAAGCCUGAUCCAGCCAUGCCGCGUGCAGGAUGAAGGCCUUCGGGUUGUAAACUGCUUUUGUACGGAACGAAAAGCUCUCUCUAAUACAGGGGUGAAUGACGGUACCUAAGAAUAAGCAACCGGCUAACGUACGUGCCAGCAC